rnacentral:rRNA from 1 species
UGAUCAUGGCUCAGAUUGAACGCUGGCGGCAGGCCUAACACAUGCAAGUCGAACGGUAACAGGAAGCAGCUUGCUGCUUCGCUGACGAGUGGCGGACGGGUGAGUAAUGUCUGGGAAACUGCCUGAUGGAGGGGGAUAACUACUGGAAACGGUAGCUAAUACCGCAUAACGUCGCAAGACCAAAGGAGGGGACCUUCGGGCCUCUUGCCAUCGGAUGUGCCCAGAUGGGAUUAGUCG